GAGGGUAUAGCUUAGUAGCAGAGUGCGUGCUUAGCAGGCAUGAGGUCCUGGGUUCAAUCCCUGGUAACUCUU
rnacentral:tRNA from 1 species